rfam:Danio rerio chromosome 14 genomic contig CTG1748, GRCz11 reference primary assembly.
GCCGGCAGCUAGCUCUCUGGAACUCUUACAUGGUCGCCCAUUGAAGCUUAGCAGGGCUACGCCCAGUCAGUACCUGGAUGGGAGACCAGAUGGGAAGCUAGGUUGUUGACGGAA